GGUUCAAUGGUCUAGUGGUUAUGAUUUCUGUCUCACAUGGAGUGAUCACAGAAGGUCUCCAGUUCGAUCCUGGAUUGAACCA